UUAUGUUUUGUGGAUUUUCCAGGGAGAAUCUGUGUCAUAGUCCCAAAUCUGGCUGGUGCAGGACCACCGUGAUGGAGGAGGUGAACGACAACGAGCUUCCAACCGAGCCGCUGCACUACCCCACGGUCGCGGUAGGACCUGAAGAGCUACCCCCCAUGGCGACAGGUACUAGCACACAGCAGAUGAUAAAAAAAGCAAUACAAAAAGGUUGGUUGCUUUUUCUGGAUACUAGAUUCCAAUAUAGCACAAUUCAGUUGGAAACUUUUGAUUACAGUCUUCAGAUGGACACAUUCAUAGCGGGUGUAUCUCGUAAAUGGAAAAAAGAUGACGUAUGAGGUGCCAAAGACAAAUGAAUGUAGAGAGAAAAAACAUCAUCUAGGUUGUUUUGGAAAAGGAUUUUAGUUGUAUUUUUUUCGAAUAAUGAAAUCGUGCUGAAACUACAAAAGGUAAAUAGAUUUUGCCAGAAACUGUUUUGCUUUUACUCCUAACCAGUAAUGAAUAUACACUAGCAUCCAUCACAUGAUGUACAAUAAAAAAAUAGCAAUGUGGGUUGGUUUCCUUGAUACUGGUUACUGAUAUGAGUGAGUAAAUAGCAGAAUUGAGCUGACAAACUUGUAAUUACAAACUUAAAUCCUAAACCCAAGAAGUCUAGGAUGGCCUAGAAGGUAAUCUUUUGCAUAUAGAUGUUUGGAUUCCACACUGUUUGCCUGAUUUAGGUGAGAUGAGAUCAGAGGAAAAAGAAAAGUGUCAAACCAAUGAAUGUGUACAUGAGGAAGCAUCAUCUGUGAUGUUUUAUCAGAAAACAAGAUGUGACAGUUUGAUUUUUUAUGAAACGCAGGGUGAGAAUUGGAGCUGCUGCUCCAGGAAGGGCGGCCUUGCCCUGGGCGGCCCAGCGCCCUUGAGAAAGCAAUUCGUGGAUUCGCUGAUAAACCGGGUGAAAAUGUAAUCGUGCCUGCCCUGGGUACAAGCUUUGAUACACUCGGCGAGGCCUACGAUUUUUACAAUCUCUACUCGUGGGCAGUGGCGGAGCUUCGAAGAAAAACCUGGGCGGGCCAACUCAAAGGAAAGCACAACUAUAUACAGUAUCUAGCUAGUCUGCAAUUGCAGACAAGAAGGCGGCUCACCACUGCAAAUUUUAGAAUGUAAAGGAUAGUUGAGCGAAAAAAUCAGGCCAUGAGUUAGCGAACUCAGAAUUUGGGGAAAUAAAUUAGAGUAACUAUUCUGUAUAGACUCGCAAUUGCAAGGGAAUUGAAGAUGCACUGCUUGGUUGCUGCCUUGGCCGCCGGCUGGACGCUGCUUGCUAUGAGGCUGCUCCUGCAUGGCUGUUGGACCUAUGGCGGCUGCUCUCUAUUUUGUGCCAGCACUAAAUCUAGACGAGCAGAUGCAUCUUGUUGCGCAUGUAUAACGCUGGCCUCCGCCAGCGGGUACUGCGUCUCCUCGAACCCUGCUGGCUUUUGCAUCGACGAGUAGUAGCCUGAAUAUAGGUUGCAUGGUUACUGGGCUGGGCUACAAAAGUAUAGGUAUUAUUUUUUUUGUCAAAAUCUUGGGCGGGCCAUGGCCCAGGUCUGCCCCAACUAAGCUCCGCCCCUGCUUGUGGGAGAAGGGGUUUGGAAUAAGGUAUGGCAAGAGUAGACUGAAUGUGGAGAGGAAUGCAUGCAGGGAAUUGUUUGUGGCUGUGCGGGGAAACCUGGGAUGGAGAACAUUAGAUUGUGCCGAUGCGAAUGCCCUGCACUAAUAAGAGCUCUGAAGAAUUUGUGUGGUAAAAUUAGCAGGGAGCAAACAGAAGAUGAUGUUAGGAAAAUUAUGGAGGUUUUUGCUGAACUUGGUUCGAGAGAUCUGCGCUUCACUUAUCGUGUGCAAGCGGACAAAGAUGGGCGGAUAAUAAACUUUGAUGUGGGCAAAUGGGAGCAGCAGUUGCAGUACACGUUCUUUGGAGAUGUUGUUACAACCUUCGUUUCUUUACUGUAGACCAUUGUGUUGUGUAGCUAAGAGUGUGCGGCGAGAAUGUGUUUGAUUUCCUGUAGAAUCUGACUUGUUUGCAUGCUUGCUCAAUGUAUUGCUGUGCUGAUGGAUGUGUUAAUGACUCGUUUCUGAAUAAAAAUGAAACUCCUGUUCAAACUGAUA